UAAAGAAAGCGUAAUAGCUCACUGGUCGAGUCGGCCUGCGCGGAAGAUGUAACGGGGCUAAACCAUGCACCGAAGCUGCGGCAGCGACACUAUGUGUUGUUGGGUAGGGGAGCGUUCUGUAAGCCUGCGAAGGUGUACUGUGAGGUAUGCUGGAGGUAUCAGAAGUGCGAAUGCUGACAUAAGUAACGAUAAAGCGGGUGAAAAGCCCGCUCGCCGGAAGACCAAGGGUUCCUGUCCAACGUUAAUCGGGGCAGG
rnacentral:rRNA from 1 species